AUGGCCACCGCCCUCUUCCUUCCCGCACCUCCCCUCCCAUUCCCUCCCUCACCAGAAGAGAAGAGAAGAGAAGGGAGCAGCGGGCAGAUCAGGCGGCGGCUACGAUCCGGCCAUGGGACUGGAGCUCCAUCGCCACUGAUGAAUAUCGCGAGCGAGCGGCCGUGCGUGCGUCAGGACACGCUCGUCAAGGCCCCCGCCUCCUUCCUUCCUUCCUUGUGCUCGGCCAUGCCUAGCGCUAGCAGCAAGGAGGAGGAUCUACUACCCUACAGAAGGAAAGGAAGAGGCCGCCGGCGAGCGAGGCACGGCCACGGCGUUGGACAGCUGCUCCUCCCAAGACUUGAUUGUCCUCGAGCAACAUGGAGAGAAAUCGAUGCGUCCCCUUCCGGUCGUUGUCAUGGCACGUGA
rnacentral:rRNA from 1 species